CACGUAGGGGGCGAGCGUUGUCCGGAAUUACUGGGCGUAAAGGGCGCGCAGGCUGUUAUGCGAGUCUGCUGUGAAAUGUACCGGCUCAACCGGUGCCUUGCGGCGGAUACUGCAUAGCUGGAGUACUGGAGAGGGAAGUGGAAUUCCCAGUGUAGCGGUGAAAUGCGUAGAGAUUGGGAGGAACACCAGUGGCGAAGGCGGCUUUCUGGACGAUAACUGACGCUGAGGCGCGAAAGCGUGGGUAGCAAACAGGAUUAGA
rnacentral:rRNA from 1 species